rnacentral:lncRNA from 1 species
UUGACAGAAGUUGCUAGUUUUUCAGAGCAGAUGUUCACUGAGGACACUGAAUUAUCUUCAACUGACACCUCUAUGAAUCCAGACAAAACAGCAGAAGUUCCAGUUAAAUCAAAUUCAAAGUGCAGCGUGACCAAGGCGGUGUCUAUCUGUAGCCCGAGUCCUGUGGAGAAAGACCAGCCAAAGCCUCUGUGUGCCCUGCUGCCUUCCUCAAUGGAGACCUGCACAGUCUAUGAAGCAAGUCAGUCAUUUACAUCAAUGAGCAAGAGUCAAGAAAGCCUCCAUACGACUACAGUCCACCAUGAGCCAGACGGAGCCGACCUCUGUGCUGCAGUCUUGUUGGCCUGCCUCUUCUGCCACCCACUGGAAUGUCUACUGGCCACGGUGAGAGGGUGCAACGAGUGCGUGUGGUCGCUGUGCUUCUCCGCGUGCGGCUGCGAGUCCAGUCCGCUGCAGGCCCUCUUGGACGUCACCCACCACUGCGACCUUGGCGGGUGUCUGGGUGUCCGCUGCUUUAUGUGCGACUGUCCCGUUUGCGACAUCUGCCACCAGGCUACAGAGUGCCUGGACCUCGCUAUGGAAAUCUCUCAAAUGCUCUACCACUAA